UUUCGCUCCGGCAGGACAGACACUCACUCUGGGACGAUGCAGAGAAGACGAGUAUGGCACCUGCGCAAGGAUGGCACGCACGUUCUUGAAGAGCCCCCCCCCUCU